CUCUUUUUCACAUCUCACUGAUACAGUAUCUAAUUGAUUAUUCAUUACAGUACCAGCAGGUAACAGCGUACAUAUACUGUAUGCAGAAACAGAACUAGUGACACAGAUAUGCCAGUUUCCUCUCUGUAUCGGGCAGAAAUGCACAAACUCUUAAGUCCAAAGACAAUACCUUUAUACUCAGGCACAUUUUCCAUGAGAGCAUUGCACACGGAUCCGGGUGUGUAUAUGUGUGUGUGUUUGAUUUUGUGUAUCUCUGUGUGUGUGUGCAUGCAGGUAAUGGUCUAUAGAGGAAGUAUAGACUCUGUAUACCUUCAUGAGGAAUACGCCUACCGAACGAUAACUGAAUUCACAUUGGGAAGGCUAACAGCCCUCUUCUUAAAGCAAACACAGAUGGACAGCUACUAAGGACGCUCUGUCUCUGCUUCCCUCACACACACAAGUCUCCUCUGAAUUACGGCUCUCGUCAACACUUGGCGCUCGGCUAAUCAGCCUCUGGGAGACACAUGACAGCUUUAUGAGACGAAAAAUCAACACACACUGACAGAAACACACACCUGCACAGAUAAAUAAGCAGAAAUACCUGAUCACACAACCUGUAAUUACACACACUUGCACUUCUAGUUUCUGUUGAAGAAAUGACAGCAGCAUGAGAUGUCUGCAGGUAAAAGAAUCAAAACAAAAGUUUGGGGGUAUAAAAUUUCAUUUAAAACUAAGUAGGCUAAUUGGGAGAAGAAGAACAAAAGGUCCAAUAAAUGUUCAGCUUUGUGCUUUUAUUCUCUUCAGCAUGUGAUUUGUCAGUACAUUAGUCAGAAACAUGAAAUGCUUUUUAAGUUAAAUAGGCUGACUCUCCUGUGAGUGACAGGUUGUCCAGCCCCAGUGUUGCCAAGUCCACAGUUUUCCAGCGGAAUUGAGCUACUUUCAUACUGUUGCCGCGGUUUGUUUUUCAUGUCCGCGGUUUGAAUCAACCCAAAAUAACGUGAUAUUUAGUCCCUGGAAUGAGAAUUUUAUUGGGGAGCCCCGCC